rnacentral:rRNA from 1 species
CGCCAGCCCGCUCAGAAACUCAAAUGAAUUGACGGGGCCCGCACAAGCGGUGGAGUAUGUGGUUUAAUUCGAUGCAACGCGAAGAACCUUACCUGGUCUUGACAUCCCGGAGACCCUUAGGAAACUAGGGGGUGCUUCCAUCUGGAAGAAUCUGGAGACAGGUGCUGCAUGGCUGUCGUCAGCUCGUGUCGUGAGAUGUUGGGUUAAGUCCCGCAACGAGCGCAACCCUUGCCUUUAGUUGCCAGCAGUUCGGCUGGGCACUCUAAAGGGACUGCCGGUGUUAAACCGGAGGAAGGUGGGGAUGACGUCAAGUCCUCAUGGCCUUUAUGACCAGGGCUACACACGUACUACAAUGGCCGAUACAAAGGGCAGCGACACUGCGAGGUGAAGCCAAUCCCGUAAAAUCGGUCUCAGUCCGGAUUGGAGUCUGCAACUCGACUCCAUGAAGUUGGAAUCGCUAGUAAUCGUGGAUCAGCAUGCCACGGUGAAUACGUUCCCGGGCCUU